rnacentral:rRNA from 1 species
UACAGAGGGGGCAAGCGUUGUUCGGAAUUACUGGCGUAAAGGGCGCGUAGGCGGCCUGUUAAGUCGAACGUGAAAUCCCCGGGCUCAACCCGGGAACUGCGUCCGAUACUGGCAGGCUUGAAUCCGGGAGAGGGAUGCGGAAUUCCAGGUGUAGCGGUGAAAUGCGUAGAUAUCUGGAGGAACACCGGUGGCGAAGGCGGCAUCCUGGACCGGCAUUGACGCUGGAGGCGCG